AUGAUUACAGUGAUGCGCUUUCGAUUCAGCAGUAGCAGGUUUAUAAUGAUGGACCAACUUAACUUUCUGCUAACUCUUUGCAACUCAUUAAACGGAUAUAGUAGUACGAGGCUUAAGAAAGUGUCUUGGAGAAAGGAGCGUAGACGCUGGUUCCAACUAAGCACAAGUUUGGAGGCUUACUUGGAUAGUAAUUAG